ACGUGAUCUGAGUUCAGACCGGAGUAAUCCAGGUCGGUUUCUAUCUAUAAAGAGCUUUUUCUAGUACGAAAGGACCAAAAAAGCACGGCCUAUGCUUUAAGUAAGCCGUAUCAUCAAUUUCUGAUUUAAACUUAAUAAAUAAUCGACCUACAACUUUGCUCAAAACAAGAACA
rnacentral:rRNA from 1 species